rnacentral:tRNA from 1 species
GCGGGUGUAGUUGAGUGGUACAACGCUUCCUUGCCAAGGAAGAGAUCGUGGGUCCAAUUCCCAUCACCCGCUCCA